rnacentral:rRNA from 1 species
GACGAGCGCUGGCGGCGUGCUUAACACAUGCAAGUCGAACGGAAAGGCCCUGCUUUUGUGGGGUGCUCGAGUGGCGAACGGGUGAGUAACACGUGAGUAACCUGCUCUUGACUUUGGGAUAACUUCAGGAAACUGGGGCUAAUACCGGAUAGGAGCUCCUGCUGCAUGGUGGGGGUUGGAAAGUUUCGGCGGUUGGGGAUGGACUCGCGGCUUAUCAGCUUGUUGGUGGGGUAGUGGCUUACCAAGGCUUUGACGGGUAGCCGGCCUGAGAGGGUGACCGGCCACAUUGGGACUGAGAUACGGCCCAGACUCCUACGGGAGGCAGCAGUGGGGAAUAUUGCACAAUGGGCGGAAGCCUGAUGCAGCAACGCCGCGUGCGGGAUGACGGCCUUCGGGUUGUAAACCGCUUUCGCCUGUGACGAAGCGUGAGUGACGGUAAUGGGUAAAGAAGCACCGGCUAACUACGUG